GACAGAGGGUGCAAACGUUGUUCGGAAUUACUGGGCGUAAAGGGUGCGUAGGUGGUUGAAUAAGUUGUCUGUGAAAUCCCCGGGCUUAACCUGGGACGGUCAGACAAGACUGUUUGACUCGAGUAUGGGAGAGGGUAGUGGAAUUUCCGGUGUAGCGGUGAAAUGCGUAGAGAUCGGAAGGAACACCAGUGGCGAAGGCGGCUACCUGGCCGGAUACUGACACUGAAGCACGAAAGCGUGGGGAGCAAACAGG
rnacentral:rRNA from 1 species